ACGGCAAGAAACCAGAUGGCCCUGUCACCAGGGAGACCAGAGAAGGAGCCUGACGUCAGGAAAAUUCUACAAGGCCUGGGAAAUGAGCAAAAUCAAGACCAAGUCCCUCUCCAGCCAGGGCUGGGCUGCCUCUGGUUCCCUGGGGUGAUCUGCUCCACCCACGGUGGGAGCCUGGGGCAGGGCGGAGACCGAGACUCAGGCUCACUGCAGGACUCUGUCCUGGGGACCACAGCGAGACUUACUGAGAUGCUGACGGACCUGGACCCACUUCCACACCACUCUGUGGCUGGCAGUACAGAGCAUGGGCUCCUGUCACCGAAGCUGCACAUUGCAAAGACUCUCAGACAGGGACGCAUUUGGCAGCUGACCAUAGGACGUAGGUAAACUGGCAGCUUCGUCCUCCUUGGCACCACACAGAAGGGUUCAUCCCCAGUGGCGUCUCAGGGCUCCUUUCAG
rnacentral:lncRNA from 1 species